UACGUAGGUGGCAAGCGUUGUCCGGAUUUACUGGGCGUAAAGAGCGCGCAGGCGGUCGUUCAAGUCGCGUGUGAAAGCCCCCCGGCUCAACUGGGGAGGGUCACGCGAUACUGAUCGACUCGAAGGCAGGAGAGGGUAGUGGAAUUCCCGGUGUAGUGGGUGAAAUGCGUAGAUAUCGGGAGGAACACCAGUGGCGAAGGCGAC
rnacentral:rRNA from 1 species